rnacentral:piRNA from 1 species
UUUUAAGAAGGUGUCUAGGG